rnacentral:rRNA from 1 species
UACAGAGGGGCAAGCGUUAUUCGGAAUUAUUGGGCGAAAGGGCGCGUAGGCGGCUUUUCAAGUGACGGGUGAAAGCCCUCGGCUUAACCGAGGAACUGCCUGUCAGACUGGAAGGCUUGAGACCGGGGAGAGGUGAGUGGAAUUCCCAGUGUAGCGGUGAAAUGCGUAGAUAUUGGGGAGGAACACCAGUGGCGAAGGCGGCUCACUGGACCGGAACUGACGCUGAGGCGCGAAAAGCGUGGGGGAGCAAACAGG